rnacentral:siRNA from 1 species
UGAAUGGUAGUAUUGACUA